rnacentral:rRNA from 1 species
AAUUCUAAUUUUACUUUCCCGUAAAAUUACUUUGUUACGACUUGUUUUAUAUAAUUAAAAUUUAUAUUAAUAUUUAUUAUAUAAAAAUGACGGGCAAUAUGUACAUAUUUAAUUUAUAAUUUAAUAUUUUUAAAUUAAAAUAUUUAUUAUUAAAUUCUAAUUUAAUAAUUUUUUAAAUAAUUAUUAAAUAUAUUUAUUAUAAAUAAAAUAUAUUAUAAAUAUAAAGUAAAUAUAAAGUAACUCAAAAAUUCUAAUUAAAUUUAUAUUUUGACUUGAAUUAUUUAAUAAUUAAAUUUUAAAUUAAUUAAAAUUUUAAUUAAAAAAUUAAAUUUAAACAGUAAUAUAUAAAAAUAUAUAAAUUAGUUUAUUAAAAUGUGGAUUAUCAAAUUAAAUUUCAAGUUCAUCUAAAAAAAAAUACCGUCAAUUUUUUUAAAUUUAAUAAAUUAAUAUUUAGUAUUUUAAUAUAAGUUUAUUUAUUAAUAAUAGGGUAUCUAAUCCUAGUUUUUUAAAAAAAAUUUUAUAAAAAUCAAUUAAAUUUAAAAAUUUUUAUUUUUUAUUAAUUAUUUAUUUAAUCAAUUAUUAAAAUUUAUAAAAAUUUAUAUAAAAAUUUAAUU